ACCUGCGGAAGGACCAUUG
rnacentral:rRNA from 3 species